GGGGUUGCGACUCAGUGGUGGAGUUCUUGCCUCACAUGCAUGAGGCCCAGGGUUCAAUCCUCAGCACCACA
rnacentral:tRNA from 1 species